AUUGAACGCUGGCGGCAGGCCUAACACAUGCAAGUCGAACGAGUGGCGGACGGGUGAGUAAUGUCUGGGCAACUGCCUGAUGGAGGGGGAUAACUACUGGAAACGGUAGCUAAUACCGCAUACCAUCGGAUGUGCCCAGCUGGGAUUGGCUCGUAGGUGGGGUAACGGCUCACCUAGUCGACGAUCCCUAGCUGGUCUGAGAGGAUGUCCCGCCAAACUGUAACUGGGACACGGUCCAGACUCCGACGGGAGGCAGCAGUGGGGAAGAUUGCACAAUGGGCGCAAGCCUGAUGCAGCCAGGCCGCGUGUAUGAAGAAGGCCGUCGGGUUGUAAAGUACUUUCAGCGGGGAGGCGUUACCCGCAGAAGAAGCACCGGCUAACUCCGUGCCAGCAGCCGCGGUAAUUC
rnacentral:rRNA from 1 species